GCCGAGACAACUAGCCCUUAAAUGGUAUGGCGCUCAAGCAUUCUCCCGAUACUCGACCGCCGGGGCACUACCGGUCCGCUUCUUCCGCCGCCACCUAUUCGGCGGCGGCGGUGGGUUACGGCGGGUCUCGAAGCCCCGGUGAGUAGGAGGGUCGCGGUGGUGUGCGCUGAAGGGUUCGGCGUGAGCCGGCCUGGAGCCUCCACUGGUGCAGAUCUUGGUGGUAGUAGCAAAUAGUCGAGAGAGAGUCCCUUGAAGGCCGAAGUGGAGAAGGGUUCCAUGUGAACAUCAGUUGGACAUGGGUUAGUCGCUCCUAAGCCCAAGGCGAAGGCCUGAUCCCACGCUAGAGGCAACGACCACACGCAGAGGAGGCAGGCCGCAUUGUGCGUAUUG
rnacentral:rRNA from 1 species